GCCGGGCGUGCUGGUGGGCGCCUGUAGUCCCAGCUACUUUGGAGGCUGAGGCAGGAGAAUCACUUGAACCCAGGAGGUGGAGGUUGCAGUGAGCCGAGAUCGUGCCACUGCACUCUAGCCUGGGUGACAGAGUGAGACUCUGUCUCAA
rfam:Homo sapiens chromosome 2, GRCh38 reference primary assembly.